rnacentral:rRNA from 1 species
GAACGCGAAGAACCUUACCUAGGCUAGAAUGUGAGGGAAGGGCUUCUAACAGAGUCCGUCCGGGAAACCGGACCCAAAACAAGGUGCUGCAUGGCUGUCGUCAGCUCGUGUCGUGAGAUGUUGGGUUAAGUCCCGCAACGAACGCAACCCUUAUCAACAGUUGCCAUCAUUAAGUUGGGAACUCUGUUGAGACUGCCGUUGAUAAAACGGAGGAAGGUGGGGAUGAUGUCAGGUCAUCAUGGCCUUUAUGCUUAGGGCUACACACGUGCUACAAUGGAUGGUACAAAACGUCGCAAUCCCGCGAGGGGGAGCUAAUCGCGAAAACCAUCCUCAGUUCGGAUUGGAGUCUGCAACUCGACUCCAUGAAGUUGGAAUCGUUAGUAAUCGCAAAUCAGCAUGUUGCGGUGAAUACGUUCCCGGGUCUUGUACACACGC